UAACACAUGCAAGUCGAACGAUGAUAGAGAGCUUGCUUUUCUUGAUUAGUGGCGCACGGGUGAGUAAUGCAUAGAUAAUGUGCCCCUUAGUUCGGGAUAGCCACUGGAAACGGUGAUUAAUACCGGAUACUCCUUCUUGUUAUAAGACAAGUCGGGAAAGUUUUUCGCUAAGGGAUCAGUCUAUGUUCCAUCAGCUUGUUGGUGAGGUAAUGGCUCACCAAGGCUAUGACGGAUAUCUGGUUUGAGAGGAUGAUCAGACACACUGGAACUGAGACACGGUCCAGACUCCUACGGGAGGCAGCAGUGAGGAAUAUUGCACAAUGGAGGAAACUCUGAUGCAGCAACGCCGCGUGGAGGAUGACGCAUUUCGGUGUGUAAACUCCUUUUAUUAGGGAAGAUAAUGACGGUACCUAAUGAAUAAGCACCGGCUAACUCCGUGCCAGCAGCCGCGGUAAUACGGAGGGUGCAAGCGUUACUCGGAAUCACUGGGCGUAAAGGGUGCGUAGGCUGGCUUUUAAGUCAGAUGUGAAAUCCAAUGGCUCAACCAUUGAACUGCAUUUGAAACUGAAAGCCUAGAGUUCAGAAGGGGCAGAUGGAAUUAGUGGUGUAGGGGUAAAAUCCGUAGAUAUCACUAGGAAUAUCAAAAGCGAAGGCGAUCUGCUGGGAUGA
rnacentral:rRNA from 1 species